rnacentral:rRNA from 1 species
UGGGGAAUAUUGCACGAUGGGCGAAAGCCUGAUGCAGCAACGCCGCGUGAGUGAUGAAGGCCUUCGGGUUGUAAAGCUCUGUCUUCUGGGACGAUAAUGACGGUACCAGAGGAGGAAGCCACGGCUAACUACGUGCCAGCAGCCGCGGUAAUACGUAGGUGGCAAGCGUUGUCCGGAUUUACUGGGCGUAAAGGAUGCGUAGGCGGAUACUUAAGUCAGAUGUGAAAAUCCCGGGCUUAACUUGGGAACUGCAUUUGAAACUGGGUAUCUAGAGUGCGGGAGAGGAAAGUGGAAUUCCUAGUGUAGCGGUGAAAUGCGUAGAGAUUAGGAAGAACACCAGUGGCGAAGGCGACUUUCUGGACCGUAACUGACGCUGAGGCAUGAAAGCGUGGGGAGCAAACA